UAAUUGCGCGUCAACUUGUGAACUGCAGGACACAUGAACAUCGACAUUUCGAACGCACAUUGCGGUCCUCGGAUACUCGUUCCGGACACUCCUGGCUGAGGGUCGUAUCU
rnacentral:rRNA from 1 species